UACGAGGAGAGUAACUUUUAAUAUUUUAGGAGUUCUUCUUUUACUUUUUGUAUAACUCGAAAUUUACUUUCUCAAAACUAUUUACGGAGUAUAAUUUUCGCCCAACCUCAAAAUGAAUAUGUUUAUAUUUGAAAAUUUCAAUUUGUUGGUCUUACUUUCAGCUUGGGGAAAUAUUUUAUAGUUAAAAGUGUUUAUGGAGGCUUGGUGGUAAAUUAAUUCUAUGUAGUACUAUAUAGAUCUAUCAUGGAUAUUAUUUCUCUUCUCAGGUCAUUAUGGGGAGAGGCCUAAAUGCCAAGGCUGCAAGGAAUUUGUUAUACCGUGAUCCUAGUAACUUUCCUGGAGUUUUCCGCCGUCUACGUGUUCUGGAGCCACAUAUGAAGAUGAAGUGUGACUUGAGCGGUUGCGACUUUAAAUUCAAUGUCGUCCGUGGACUUAGUGUUCAUUACGAUGUUGUUGACGUCUGCUCUGCUGCGAACUGGUUUACCCUCGUAACGAGGGAAGGUUGCAUGACAGGGGGAUUUGUAACCCUGCUGCCAAUGGUGCUGCCAAUGCUGUUGCUGCGCCUGCUGCCUCAGUGCAGAUAGUUUAGCAGUGCUGGUUAAGCCGCCUGUUGCGUCGCCGCCUGACUGCCGCUUGCGCCACCAUCAGUCCUCCGCCGCCAGCCACCACCACGCGACUACCUUCAUCGCCGCCCAGCCGCGUCUCCUGGCCGCGACCACCUGCCGCUGCACGCCGCCUUUGUCCGCCGGCCAGCCACUUUCUCUCUUCUUUAUUUGGCGAAGAAUUCUCUGUAGGCGACUUUUGAGAUUGUUAAAGUGGCCUAUCAAUUUGUUCACCAAAGGCAGCGGAAGAGGACUACUGUACUAAACCAGCUAAGACUAUGAGGCCUUUCCAUGCUCUUCUUGAUGAUGGCCUUAUAAGGACACCUAUCACAACCGAGUUUUUGGUGCUCUCUAGUAUUGAAAUAGAUGAAGAAAGGAAUACAAUUACAAGUGCAGUUCAAGCUAAAACAAUCAAGUUUUCUGAAGAAACUUAUUCAUCGGAAAAUGUGGAUGAGGUUAGAGACAUGUGGGUCGAGUAUUUGCUCAAGCAAAAAGCGGAUCAAGAAAACAAAGUUGAUGGUAUGGAAAUAGCUCCAUGAGUUUCGGUUCCAAUUGUUGAUAAAUUGGUGUGAAUGAUUAUAUUUUGGAAUUGAUUUUUGUUUUACAUUUUUGGAAAUUGCAA